AGAGUUUGAUCAUGGCUCAGGACGAACGCUGGCGGCGUGCCUAACACAUGCAAGUCGAGCGAGGCGGAACCUUCGGGUUCCAGUCGAGCGGCGGACGGGUGAGUAACACGUGAGCGACCUGUCCUCGUACGGGGGACAACCCGGGGAAACCCGGGCUAAUACCGCAUGGUCGGGAACCCUGCAUGGGGAUCCCGGGAAAGAUGGCCUCUGUUUCAUGCUAUCGUGCGGGGAGGGGCUCGCGGGCUAUCAGCUUGUUGGUGAGGUAACGGCUCACCAAGGCUACGACGGCUAGGGGGUCUGAGAGGACGACCCCCCACAUUGGGACUGAGACACGGCCCAGACUCCUACGGGAGGCAGCAGUGGGGAAUUUUGGUCAAUGGCCGAAAGGCUGAACCAGCGACGCCGCGUGCGGGAGGAAGCCCCUCGGGGUGUAAACCGCUGUCGGGAGGGACGAAACCGGAAAGGCUGAACACGCCUUUCCCUUGACGGUACCUUCAAAGGAAGCGCCGGCUAACUCCGUGCCAGCAGCCGCGGUAAUACGGAGGGCGCAAGCGUUGUUCGGAUUUACUGGGCGUAAAGCGCGCGCAGGCGGAGGCGUAAGUCGGGAGUGAAAUUCCGGGGCUCAACCCCGGAACUGCUUCCGAGACUGCGUUUCUAGGGACCGGUAGGGGCGGGUAGAAUUCCCGGUGUAGCGGUGGAAUGCGUAGAUAUCGGGAAGAACACCGGUGGCGAAGGC
rnacentral:rRNA from 1 species